AGCUUCACUGGAGUGUCAACACUUAAUACUAGUUAUGUAGAAUUACAACUUUAUAUUUAUUACAGUAAAUACACAGGCAUAGCACUAAAUUCAGUACGAGAUCUGCUAUGAUGUUUCUCUCUUAUAUGUAACCAAGAAAUUUCCCAUGCUGUCACUAAGAAUCAGGUAUUCCUCCUGCUUUCUGCUAAAGGACCUAAAAUUAUAUUGGAAAUAUCAUCAAAGGAUAAAUCAUACUGGAUCUUCUUUUGGUUACAUUUAUAGGAGCUGCCACUCAGUGACCAUGUCAAGGGCACGUUGGCUCUCAGCCCCAGCCACUCUCCCAUGGCCAGCACACAAGGCCACCACAGCCUGGUCCUGACGUGAUACCCAAGACCGGUGGGUACGAGGGGCAUCUGCUUCACUGCUUCUCAAUAUUGGACCAGUUUCUUAAAACUAUUUUCCAGGAAUAGACAAACCCUACCUGCAAACCAAGAAGACAGAUUUUGGCCUAUGUUUAGCAAUAUUCUCUUGCCAUGAUGGAGAGUAUCCUCUCAUGAACAACGAUUAUAAAUCUGUCAAUCACCCUAUGUAACUUCUCAAAUGAAGCAGCUAAAGCCAUAGCUGCCCAAUAAAAAUCUUUAAACUCUUUAG
ensembl:lncRNA LINC02431 long intergenic non-protein coding RNA 2431